GUUGGUGGGGUAAAGGCCUACCAAGGCGACGAUCCAUAGCUGGUCUGAGAGGAUGAUCAGCCACAUUGGGACUGAGACACGGCCCAAACUCCUACGGGAGGCAGCAGUGGGGAAUAUUGGACAAUGGGCGCAAGCCUGAUCCAGCCAUGCCGCGUGAGUGAUGAAGGCCCUAGGGUUGUAAAGCUCUUUCACCGGAGAAGAUAAUGACGGUAUCCGGAGAAGAAGCCCCGGCUAACUUCGUGCCAGCAGCCGCGGUAAUACGAAGGGGGCUAGCGUUGUUCGGAUUUACUGGGCGUAAAGCGCACGUAGGCGGACAUUUAAGUCAGGGGUGAAAUCCCAGAGCUCAACUCUGGAACUGCCUUUGAUACUGGGUGUCUAGAGUAUGGAAGAGGUGARUGGAAUUCCGAGUGUAGAGGUGAAAUUCGUAGAUAUUCGGAGGAACACCAGUGGCGAAGGCGGCUCAACUGUCCAUUACUGACG
rnacentral:rRNA from 1 species